AGAAAAUAAAAAAGAAAAUAGAUCUCAAUAAAAAUCACUAACCUGCUUAAACAAUAAUUUACCAAAAUAUUUGGUAAUCAUAAACAAUCUUUUCUAAAACUCAAAAGCAGACAACUCGCAAUACAUAACGACAAGUUGUCUAAGUAUCAGGUGACAUAAUUCUGUAAGCUAUUAGUUUGAAAUCUUUGCAACACAUCAAUAAAGUAAAACGCACUAAGCGUUGCAGCGGAAUAGCUUAAGUGGAUUACAUGUAUGAAGACAUGGAAUCCUGAGCCUAAUUUAGUACUUAUAUAUCAAAAGCUUUGCUCUGCUGGCAUCCAUCUGCAUCACAGCUUAACCUGCACAUUUAGAAAACAUAUGCAGGGCUGAGUACUCAAAAGCACUCAAUGGUCACAUGCCGAAAUAACUUUAAAGAUUGCUCUUAGAGCUAUAAAUUGAACUUGCCAUCUCAAGCAUCACACAGGAGUUUUAUUUAAAUAACCUGUGCACGCCAAAACUGUAAAACUUCCCUGUAAUUAUCAUAAACUUCACAUGCGUCUGCAGACAUACUUCUUUGUACUCUACCAUAUCUGCAAUGAUAACUGUGUGCCGAGAAGGUGGCCACCUUCUACGGUCACUGACCGGCCGAUACGCUAAACCGGCUCACGGUCCUAGACCGGCCGAUAUGCUAAACCAGCUCACGGACCUAGACCGACCGAUACGCUAAACCGGCUCACGGUCCUAGGCCGGCCGAUAUGCUAAAUCGGCUCACGGUCCCUUGUGUACACUAAUCCUGUCUAACAUCUGGAUAGAACAGGAUCCGAAUUCGAUUAACUUCUGGUGCCAGAUAGGUGUCAUACAAAUUCAUAAAAUAAUUUUGGCAAGUCAAUAACUUUAAUAUAACUUCAUUCAUGUAAACAUAAUUAAAAUAGUGUGCACUUCAGAUUUUGAGUUUAGAAAGCCCACCUGAUCGUGGUCUGACGAUCUAGGUAAUUCUGAACUAUGGAUUCACCUUCUUUUGUAUGUGACCUUUAAUAUAGAUUAACUAACUAAGUAAAUAAGAAAAUAAUAUGGAUUUAACUUAAAGAAUACUUAUGUAGGUCUUAGGGUGAUAUUCCUAUUGAAAUAUGGACUGAAGACUAACUGUUAUUGACAACCUUAUCAACAAAUUUCAGUAUAGACUUAAACUGCGAUGAUCAUAAUCCUGGCAUUAAUCAUAACUUUACUUACACUAAUGAAAUAAAUAAUUAUUUACUUAGGGACAAUAUAAAUCCCUUCUUUUCCUCUUCUUUAAAGAAUCUAAUUUCGAAAUAUUCUAAUGUCUAAUUUAUGCAUAAUUAGACUGGAUAAUAGCAUAAAUUAAUCAAUCAAACUAAAUUUUAGUUAAUAGCUAAUAAUCCCUCGUAUAAGAUUAUUAAGCUCAAACUAAUAAACUACUACUCAGUUCAAUUAAAUAAAUUAUAUCCAUCUUCUAAUUAACUAUCAAGGGCCAACAAUAAUCUUAUUUAACUAAGCCCACUAGAAAUAAUAAUAAGCCCAUCAGAAAUAGCUUAAGCCCAAUUAAAUAUACAAGUUUAAUAAAUAAUUAAAUCCACCAUCUUCUUCUCAAAGUUAAGAAAAUCAGAUUUCUUUCUCUCUCCCUGUCUCCGGCGGCCGUCGCCGGCCUUCGUCGCCUCCGACACGGCGAGGUCGGCCUCUUCUCUCCCCCUUUCCUUUCUUUCCAUUUCUCUUUUCCCUAAGUCUCAAUCCCCAAAUUAUAAAAUCAAAAUCCUAGGGUUUCUACCUCUCUUCAUCCCCCUCUGGAAUUCGUCUCUCCGGCGAAGCCUGCCGCCCCGCCGUUGUCUCUGUCACGCCGCCGCCUCUUCUGACUCAGGAAUCGGUGAUUCAAGAUGGUUUGAGAUGGUUUCAUCGGCAGUUCAUCUACAGCCCAAGACUCCCUUUUAAAGACUCAGCCUUUUAUUAUUGAAUUAACUGUUGUAACUAAAUGUAUGCUGUAAGUGUUAAAGAAAAUUGAUGUUAUCUCUACUAUUCUUGAUUACUAUCUAUGAGUGAAUCAUUGAGUUAUAGGAAGAA